GAACGCUGGCGGCAUGCCUAAGACAUAGCAAGUCGAACGAAGUGACCCUUGAAGUAGAGUGCUUGCACAAAGCGGAUUAGGAUUUCACGUUAGUGGCGCAAGGGUGAGUAACACGUGGGUAAUCUGCCUUUAAGACUGGGAUAACAAUUGGGAACGAUUGCUAAUACCGGAUGAAAUGCAUGACAUAAAGUUAUGUAGUAAAAGAAGCCUUUAAAGCUUUACUUAAAGAUGAGCCUGCGGCGCAUUAGCUAGUUGGUGGGGUAAUGGCCUACCAAGGCAACGAUGCGUAGCCGAACUGAGAGGUUGAUCGGCCACGUUGGGACUGAGACACGGCCCAAACUCCUACGGGAGACAGCAGUUAGGAAUAUUCGUCAAUGGGGGAAACCCUGAACGAGCAAUGCCGCGUGAAUGAAUGACGGUCCUCUGGAUUGUAAAAUUCUGUUGUUGGGGAAGAACUGUUAAUAUAGGAAAUGAUAUUAACUUGACCGGUACCCUUCAAGAAAGCUCCGGCUAACUACGUGCCAGCAGCGGC
rnacentral:rRNA from 1 species